rnacentral:tRNA from 1 species
UGUGUGUGGCUCAAUGGUAGGAUGCUUGCCUGGCAUGCAGGUGGCUCUGGGUUCAAUCCCCAGUACAGCAA